AGUGAACGCUGGCGGUAGGCCUAACACAUGCAAGUCGAACGGCAGCACAGUAAGAGCUUGCUCUUACGGGUGGCGAGUGGCGGACGGGUGAGGAAUACAUCGGAAUCUACUUUUUCGUGGGGGAUAACGUAGGGAAACUUACGCUAAUACCGCAUACGACCUACGGGUGAAAGCAGGGGAUCUUCGGACCUUGCGCGAUUGAAUGAGCCGAUGUCGGAUUAGCUAGUUGGCGGGGUAAAGGCCCACCAAGGCGACGAUCCGUAGCUGGUCUGAGAGGAUGAUCAGCCACACUGGAACGGAGACACGGUCCAGACGCCUACGGGAGGCAGCAGUGGGGAAUAUUGGACAAAGGGCGCAAGCCUGAUCCAGCCAUACCGCGUGGGUGAAGAAGGCCUUCGGGUUGUAAAGCCCUUUUGUUGGGAAAGAAAAGCAGCAGGUUAAUACCCCGCUGUUCUGACGGUACCCAAAGAAUAAGCACCGGCUAACUUCGUG
rnacentral:rRNA from 1 species